rnacentral:rRNA from 1 species
GAUGAACGCUGGCGGCGUGCCUAAUACAUGCAAGUCGAGCGAACGGACGAGAAGCUUGCUUCUCUGAUGUUAGCGGCGGACGGGUGAGUAACACGUGGAUAACCUACCUAUAAGACUGGGAUAACUUCGGGAAACCGGAGCUAAUACCGGAUAAUAUUUUGAACCGCAUGGUUCAAAAGUGAAAGACGGUCUUGCUGUCACUUAUAGAUGGAUCCGCGCUGCAUUAGCUAGUUGGUAAGGUAACGGCUUACCAAGGCAACGAUGCAUAGCCGACCUGAGAGGGUGAUCGGCCACACUGGAACUGAGACACGGUCCAGACUCCUACGGGAGGCAGCAGUAGGGAAUCUUCCGCAAUGGGCGAAAGCCUGACGGAGCAACGCCGCGUGAGUGAUGAAGGUCUUCGGAUCGUAAAACUCUGUUAUUAGGGAAGAACAUAUGUGUAAGUAACUGUGCACAUCUUGACGGUACCUAAUCAGAAAGCCACGGCUAACUACGUGCCAGCAGCCGCGGUAAUACGUAGGUGGCAAGCGUUAUCCGGAAUUAUUGGGCGUAAAGCGCGCGUAGGCGGUUUUUUAAGUCUGAUGUGAAAGCCCACGGCUCAACCGUGGGGGGUCAUUGGAAACUGGAAAACUUGAGUGCAGAAGAGGAAAGUGGAAUUCCAUGUGUAGCGGUGAAAUGCGCAGAGAUGUGGAGGAACACCAGUGGCGAAGGCGACUUUCUGGUCUGUAACUGACGCUGAUGUGCGAAAGCGUGGGGAUCAAACAGGAUUAGAUACCCUGGUAGUCCACGCCGUAAACGAUGAGUGCUAAGUGUUAGGGGGUUUCCGCCCCUUAGUGCUGCAGCUAACGCAUUAAGCACUCCGCCUGGGGAGUACGACCGCAAGGUUGAAACUCAAAGGAAUUGACGGGGGCCCGCACAAGCGGUGGAGCAUGCGGUUUAAUUCGAAGCAACGCGAAGAACCUUACCAAAUCUUGACAUCCUUUGACAACUCUAGAGAUAGAGCCUUCCCCUUCGGGGGACAAAGUGACAGGUGGUGCAUGGUUGUCGUCAGCUCGUGUCGUGAGAUGUUGGGUUAAGUCCCGCAACGAGCGCAACCCUUAAGCUUAGUUGCCAUCAUUAAGUUGGGCACUCUAAGUUGACUGCCGGUGACAAACCGGAGGAAGGUGGGGAUGACGUCAAAUCAUCAUGCCCCUUAUGAUUUGGGCUACACACGUGCUACAAUGGACAAUACAAAGGGCAGCGAAACCGCGAGGUCAAGCAAAUCCCAUAAAGUUGUUCUCAGUUCGGAUUGUAGUCUGCAACUCGACUACAUGAAGCUGGAAUCGCUAGUAAUCGUAGACCAGCAUGCUACGGUGAAUACGUUCCCGGGUCU